rnacentral:ncRNA from 1 species
AAAGGGGUGCCUUUUCAUUUGAAAACGGCUGAGAUUAUACCCUGUGAACCUGAUGCAGAUAAUGCUGCCGAAGGGAUUGUGUU